UGGAGAAAGAGUUAACGAUCCGGUGUUCAACAACUCUUUCGAUGUUUCGAAUCUUCCUUUCGUCGUGAAGGAACAAUCCAACAAAGAUAAAUCAAUGCUUGAGGAAGUAGCUUCAAUGAUUUUUGUAGCUUAUCCGUUCACAAAGUUGUUUGUGCCUUAACAGCAUCAGGAACUACUCGCUUCCGUUGCCACAAUUCACAACCUCACGUAAGACAGCUUUUCGCUAUUUCUGUUGGGACCUCAUGAGACAGAAUUUAAACGUUUACAAUGAACCCUAACUUAAAAUGUGGGGAAGGGAAAGCUGAUUUGAUUUCGAUCAUCAUUUCAAGCUUUUGAAAUAAAAUCCACAGCGGUUAAAUGUCCCAACUCCCAAUCCACUACAGCAAGCCAGUAUCUUCCAUUAGGAAAACACCCAGUAAAGUUGCACCACGUCACUGAAAUCGUUAUGAUUCCUAGGAACCAGGUGCAAAAACCACACUGAAUCAUCACUAGUGCAAAUAAAAAUCAUUAGCAGAUGAAAUGAAUGGGAAAAAACAAUCUACUAAUUUGGUUUGAACUUUAGAGAGCAGUAAAAAAUGGACGCAGUGAUGCAGAUUUGACAUUAACAGCAGUCAAAAUUGAAGGGGGUGGGGUGGUGCAGGAACCCUAUUCCCAAUCCCUGAAAUAAAUGUCACAUUCACCAGAUAGAACCUCAAGUCCUAAACCUAAACCGAACCCUAAUCCCAGUCCAAGGCAACCUACAUCUUCAAAACGGAGGAAAACUCUAAGCUUACCAGACGCAUGGUUUAAUGACCAAUCGCUGAAGCAUGCGACUUUGAAGAUGCAUCUCAGAUCUCUCUCUGCUACCCCAUCAGCAUCCCCUCCUUCUGACACUGACUUUUCAUUAUUAACAGGAUUUCAAUCUCUAACACUGGACCCUCCUGGGCCCGAUUACACCUCCCUCCUCUCCGAUGAGCUCCUCCUCCAAAUUUUCUCCAGGCUUCCAAUCUCUCAUCAUGUCUCAAAUUCUCUCGUCUGCAAGCGCUGGUUUUAUCUUCAUGGUCGCUUGGUACAAUCCCUCAAGCUCAUCGACUGGUCCUUUCUUAAUUCGGGUCGGAU
rnacentral:misc_RNA from 1 species